rnacentral:rRNA from 1 species
AUGAACGCUGGCGGCGUGCCUAAUACAUGCAAGUCGAGCGAACAGACGAGGAGCUUGCUCCUCUGACGUUAGCGGCGGACGGGUGAGUAACACGUGGAUAACCUACCUAUAAGACUGGGAUAACUUCGGGAAACCGGAGCUAAUACCGGAUAAUAUAUUGAACCGCAUGGUUCAAUAGUGAAAGACGGUUUUGCUGUCACUUAUAGAUGGAUCCGCGCCGCAUUAGCUAGUUGGUAAGGUAACGGCUUACCAAGGCGACGAUGCGUAGCCGACCUGAGAGGGUGGCGGGCCACACGGGAACUGAGCCCCGGCCGAGCCACCGCGGGGGGGAAGCAGGAGGAAAUCUUCCGCAAGGGGGGAAGGCCUGAGGAAGCAACGCGGGGGGAGGGAGGAAGGUCUUCGGAUCGAAAAACUGUGUUAUUGGGGAAGAAAAAAUGUGUAGGUAACUAUGCACGUCUUGACGGUCCCUAACCAAAAGGCCCCGGCUAACUACGUC